UAUAAAGUAGUAUUUAAGUACGAUGGGUUUUGAUUCCAUAGGGGUGAAUUAAUCAGCACCUUUAUAU
rnacentral:tRNA from 1 species